rnacentral:pre_miRNA from 1 species
AGAGUGGAAUGCAGCCAAGAAUGACUUGCCAACGUAGAGCAACAAAUGGGUUUUCCUGAAUUUCCUAUGUUGGCAGGUUGUUCUUGGCUACAUCUCGCUUUCU